UCCAUAGCUGAACUCUUUUCCUCCCCCUUUGCCAAAGAAAAGUUCUAAAAUGGGGUUGAAAUCUGUAGCUAAUAUGAAUAAGACGAUGACUCCGAUUUUGCUUCUCAACUGUCGAAACGUGAGCGAGCUCCUCCUAAAAAAAAUCAAAGGUUGCUGCCCAGGAAAAAAUUCAUCAAGAUAAUGCUCAAAAAAUGAUUAAGAUGGAGCUGGUCUUCGAUCUCAGAUCAUUGCAGGUCUUCUGUUCCAAUUGAUUUCGCCAGAAUUAAUGGUUGUAUUUUUCUCGUUUUGGUUUCAUUUUGGUUGUUUUGCGGUUUUGAAACGAUCGCGGUAUUUUCAUCUUCAACGUUCGCUCUGUACAGCUGAAGGCUUAGUGCAUGUGGUAUUUUUGUAAAUAUUUGUAUGUGGACUGUAUAAAUGUUUAAUGGGCCGGCCCAUAGUAUUUUUGUAAUUUUUUUUC